GCUCUAGUAGCUCAGUGGUAGAGCGAUCGACUGUUAAUCGAUUGGUCGUAGGUUCAAGUCCUACCUGGAGCG
rnacentral:tRNA from 1 species